GACAGAGGGUGCAAACGUUGUUCGGAAUUACUGGGCGUAAAGCGCGUGUAGGCUGCUCGGAAAGUCGGAUGUGAAAGCCCUGGGCUCAACCUAGGAAGUGCAUUCGAAACUUCCGAGCUGGAGUACUGGAGAGGAAGGCGGAAUUCUCGGUGUAGAGGUGAAAUUCGUAGAUAUCGAGAGGAACACCGGUGGCGAAGGCGGCCUUCUGGACAGUCACUGACGCUGAGACGCGAAAGCGUGGGGAGCAAACAGG
rnacentral:rRNA from 1 species